GCUAGAACAACUGUUUGGUCCUAUCAGAGUGCCAUGCCUGCCAGACAUGCUCUGAAUGUAUACAGCAGUGCCACGAGAGCUGCUCUUCUCUGCUGAGAUGGUUAUGGUUAGAAUUGGUUUCUAGCACAAAGCCUUAGAUACAUUUAUUUUUUCUUUAAGACAGUAUUUUAGGGCUCAGAAACUAAUGCAGUCACUGGUCUUGCCCUUCAGCUGCAGCUGAAGAUCUUGCAGGGGAGCUUGGGACAAGAGAAUGUGCAAAGGUUGAUUUAUUUUUCCUUGGAUUCCUUGAUCUUGAGUUAGUUGGCUGUGACCCUUUGUAUAACUGCACUAGCCCAAUGUGUGCCAUAGGACAAUCAUUUUAAGUCAUGUGGAUUAUAUCCAAUGGGUUUUCCAGAGUUCAAGAAAAGUUGCAUGCUGCUCUGUUGGUGAGUGGGAAAUUAAUUGCUUCUAGCUGGUUCCUCGGUCACCAGGUGAUGUCUCCUCAGCCACGAGGCAGUCCUCCGGUGAGCAGGGUCUGCCUUCCAGUGGUGCAAAGUCUCUUAGCACAUGCAACAGAGGAGUGGGUGCUCUUGCCAAUGGGAGCCAUUGGUUUCCUGUAUUACCAAUGCACCCAAACUAUUGGCUGUCUAAACUGGUGGAAGCGAAGAACAGCUUACCUUAAGAUGUGAAAUUCCAGAUCAGACACCAACCUAGAACAACCUUUUUUAUGGGCCAUCUCUUCACCUCUCUUCCAUUCCUUUUCGCUGCCAAUAAAUUGCAUAAAAAGCAGUUCUGGCUGUCUGAG
rnacentral:lncRNA from 1 species